AGCAGGUGUGGAAGCCCAGAGAAACUUCUCUCUUUCUCUUCCUCCAUUGCUAAUGAUUCCCACCAAACACAGUUCUGGGUCAGAGUCCAAAGUGUGAGAGGGGUGAGGGGAAGAUGCUGGAUUAUAGCAGAGGACGAGAAAGACAAGCGACACUGAGGAGAGAAAGGAGGCCAUAAGACAGGAGAGACACAGGAAAGGCCACGGGAAGCUGGAAGCAGACAAUGGGAGUAAUGUGGCCACAAACCAAGGAAGACCAGAGCUGGAAGGAUUCUCCUCCAGACCCUUUGAUGCUGAAAUGGCAAGUCUGAAGAGCAAUAAAUAAUCACAGAUUUCUUAUGAAAUUCAAACAAUGGGGAAUCAUUAAAGGUCUACCCAUUUCUGAAGGAGCCAAGAAGCCGUGCCUCGUCUUGAGGGUUUAAUCUACUUACACAGAGGGAAAAAGAUUUCUCUACCCUACACCACUGUCAUCCCAAGAGGCUUCACUUGUUUUUCUUUUGAAAAAAAAAUUUUGCAUUUUCCAUAGUUGCAAAAAUAACAA